GGGAGAAUUAUUAUGAACUGAGAUAAUGAACGACGAACCGUUCGUGAAACGCCUAAUAGUUUUAGGAACAAAACAUCGAUAACACCCAGUAAUGAUUAGGAAAUUACAAGCCAGAAACAGCCAUAAUACCCUAUUUUUAAAUCCUCUUCGUUCCAAAACCUCCUCCGUCUCUUCCUCUCUAUCAAAACCCCGCUGUUUGAGUUAGCUAUGCCAAGCUUUCCAGCGAUGAUCAUCACUGCCCACCCGUAAUUUCCGGUUAAAAUUGUUGUCCUGAACUUGGAAUUUGUAUCUUGUUCUCUAAGCGGGUUCUGCUCAAUUUUCUUGAGCGUAAUACAUAUUUAUAAUGGAGUUAAAAUCUAAAGGUAUUGCCUGGGUUGGGAACAUUUAUCAGAGGUUUGAAACAAUGUGCCAGGAAGUGGAUAGCAUUGUGAGCCAGAUAUCAUUCUUCUCUUUUCUUUUUUUUUUUAUUUUUUUAUUUUAUCAUUCUUUUAUCUCCUGGAUAUAAGCGUUUUCCACUUGUUUUAGCUGUUCUUCUUGAGAAGUAUCUGCUCACGUUUACAUGAAUGAGUGAAUACACUCACUCAUACACAUAAAUAUACAUCAACAUCCUUGCAUCACAAUUGUAGAUUAUGUUCUUGGUAAGUGCAUUCCUGCAUAUAUCAGAUCCUCAAACUUGAUUUUGCAAUUCCCCUGUGCGAGAGCUGCUUCUUUUACAGAAUACUGUUAGAUAUGUUGAAAACCAGGGGCACACUGUGGGCGCGAGCAUGAAAAAGUUUUGCGAUGUUGUUCAAGAUAUUAUUCCUCCUAUAGUUGAUCCCGUAAUAUGUGAGGCUCAAGCAGUGGCUAUAAUAGGAAAUGCUGUUGUUGGUACCUAUAUUAAAUCUAUGAUUGGUAUUGAGGCAGAUCAUGGACGUUGGAUCCCAUAAAGCAGUCAUUUGCAGAGCCCAGUGAUUUUGAUGUGAGGAAUCAGCCCAGUAAUACGUUGAGUGGACACCACUUUGUAAA